GUGAUGGUGGAGGUGGAGAUUUGUAAUAGUAAUCAGGUGGUGGUGGAGACUUAUAAACGUAUGUCGGGGUUGGGGGAGGUGGUGACUUGUAAACAUAUGUUGGUGAUGGAGGAGGUGGUGACUUA